GUUCUGAAAUUAGCUCCUCUCUUCAUGUAUUGCCGUGGGACUAAUCAAGGACCUGAUCAUCGAAGGUGGCGGUAAGGCGUGUGAGCAAUUAAUUAUCAGGUGUUAGCUUGGAAAGGCAUAUGCAAGUGUUGUCUUUGGGAACCCCAAGUUCAUUUCCAACAACAAAUGUAUAAUUGAAUGUUUACCGGUGAGCUCAUAGUUUAACCAAUCGGCUUCUUACAAAACCAUUAUCAAAUGUAUUUCUCCAUCUUUCCUCACCUUUCAUGCUUCCCCUCAAUUUUUCUUCUCUUUCCCUUUGCUUAUUUUAUUUGUCCUUUCAGUUUUGCCAGGCUAGGAAAUCACUGGUCGUGUCAGGAAAUCAGUUUGGAAAUCCUCUUGGAAGGUGACCGAUGCGCGAGCGUUGCUGCAGAGUAGGUAGUCAAGAAGCAUGUUGCGGCCAUCGCUGCUGUCACCAGCACGCAACGCUGGAACCAAAACGGACGUGUGGAGCAUCAUGUGGAGGUCAUCGAUCGAGCAUGGGGAUGUCGGCUUUCCUUAGUCUUGGUCAUCAAAGCUUGUCUAUCGAGCGAGCAGUCAUUUAAUUGUGCAACAGUUGUUCUGACAAGAGAUGCUUGUGGAGGAAUAUCGGGGUGACUGCAUACUGACACAAGAAGGCUAGAACAAUGACUCGAAAAUCGGUUUUCUUGGUAUAGGCGAUGGAAGUGUACAAAAGUGCUAAAAUAAUGGUUGAUGGUCUAAUUGAGUGAAGAUAAAAUACUUAAAAGUUUUGAUCUACAUGCUACAAUCAAGCCAUCAGUAGAUCAAUAGGAAG